rnacentral:misc_RNA from 1 species
UUCAACAUGUCAAACUACAUCCGGGGAUCAACAUUCUGCACGUAUGCAUUCAGGAAGCCGAAUUAUUCUAUUAAUUGUGGAGCACAAAACCAUGCCUUAACUUCAGCAUAUCUUCGGUGAAUUCGGUGUCUCACUGGCAUAUGGAAACACUACACCAAAACACGCCCGACAGUCACACUGAACGACACCCUGGCAGUCACCACUGGUGACCUACUUUUGUUACACCUGCAUUAUUGCAUUACCUUCGGAUACAAAAGUCAUACUUGGGGAUUUUACAUACUCCAUGAAAUAGUAUACACAGUAAAUUGUUCAAGAAGCAUUACAACAAUAUAGUAUAUGAAGUUCACUGUGCAUAUAUUUCUACGAUUCGAAAUAUACUUGCGUCAAGAUUGCUUUAAAUGACGCGAUGAUAUCACAUGGACUGAAAGGCAUGAGACGUGUUACGUGACAUACCUCCACUGGGUUGUUCCCUAUUACGCCUGAUGAGGCUGUACUGUACACUGAUACAGGUGAACCAGGAAGAAAGACACAACUGACAUACAUUUGAGGGCUGACUGAGGGAAGGAAAAUUUGUUUUCGUUUCACGAGGCUGCGGGAUCAGCCAAAUACACUACUUCUUUCAUGUUCACACGAGCAAGUCAUAUCACUAUCACAAGCUUUCCGGGGCAAUGUACAUUGUACAGCUGAACACUACUUCCUGGUUGUCCUCCGUCGUUAGUGGCAAGAGACAUUGGCGUUGUUGAGGAUUAUUAUCACAGGUUUAUAGUGAGACGGCUGUUUUAUGUGACCGGUUCUUCCUCAGUCCAGGACAAAUUCAGACCUUAGAGACCUUAGAAUUAGACACCUUCAGCGCCAGAUAUGUCUGUUUGAUGAAGGUUGAGACCGAAGAUUUGAUGACAUGACCAGUGCCAGUCAACACAACACCAUUGCUCAAUGUCAAGAACAGAAAAGAACUUUUACUUAUGACCUAAUCAUCACCACAAAUUUCUGGAAAGCCUUGAAUGUUGGUUCAGAUAUUGGUCCCUGUGUGCCUAUAUUACGGGUCGUCUGGAGAGUCGAGGGCGGAGAUCAGAAUCACACUCGCUCCACAAAAUGGAAAGUACACACAUCAUGUAUGAACUGUGAAGUAGCAAGACAACUAGGAGAAGCAGCCUUUACCCGUGUGCAUCGUUUUGUUAAUGAAGCUAAAGAUGAAUAUGAUGCCGAGCUACUCUACAUUCUCAGUGAUUACACGUUUGUAUUCGGACAUAAACAACUUGAGUCUGAGAAAAAGAUGGUCACAGAUAAAAGAACUGUUGUACAAAAAUUCAAAAUACUUCUUCAUGGAGGAAGUACAAUGCUACCGCAGUUUACUGUUGAUGUCCUAUUAGACGAAAAUGGUGAAACUAAACGACAAGUUGAUAGUGAGAUCAAGCAAGAAACACCAGGAAGUCAUCGGCAACUCCAAGAAUUUGAAAGACGAAUGGAUCAAAACAUAUUCUGCCACUUCAGAAAUCUUGAAAAUGUUGUGAACAAUGCAAUCUUGAAGGAUUGUGCCCACAUUAAGAAUGUAGUACAGAAAAUAGCUUUGGACAUUAACGGGGAACAACAUGUUUCACUAUACACUCUCUCAGAUCAAGAAGGAAAUACCAGUAAAACUAAAGACCAAAAGUUACAUGUACAAGCAGAGCAGCCAAAUGGUCAAACAUGUGGGUACGGGUGUACCUUGGAUCAGCGUAGUGCAUGUGAAGGAGCAGGUGUUGAACAACAACAGGAGCAGGACGCAUCCCUUGUCAAUGCGGCGGUUGACAAGUGCUUUGAGCAAAGCCAAUCACCAAGUGAAAUCAUCAGCAAGAAUUAUUUAAAGGCCCAGGAAGUUCUCAGAGCUCUAAACAUCAAUCCGGAUGGAUGGACACGGUUAACGGCCUCCACAGCGCUAGCUUUAGAACCUGCAAAGCCAUCGCCACCGCGAACGGACUCCGUAUCAACUGUCUUGUGCCUUGAUGUCUCUGAAAGUAUAGGAGCCCAGGGUCUGGAGCAACUCAAGAAGAUCGCCUACAACUUCAUCGAUGGUAUAGAGACAAUGGCUGAACGGUUUGGACUGGAGGAGAACCUUGGAGUGGUGAAAGUUGGUGGAGACGCGUCUGUGGUUCAAGAUCUUACCAACGACUAUGGUGCUGUCCGGGAUGCAAUAGAUAACCUGGUACUCGGCGGUUUCAGCCCACUGUUUGAAGGUCUCGUGGUAUCCGCGGCAUCGAUCGAAGGGAGAGGUUGUAUUCUACACCCUUUCGGGAUUCACACGUUAAAGCCCAGAAUCAUCUUCAUGACAGAUGGUUAUUCUACAGAAGAGGAUCAACGAGAAGGGCAGGAUUCUGUUGUGCCCGAUUACUCUCUCAGGGUUCAGCUUCUUCGUCUGACUAAAAACAUGGCAGAACACAAGAGCGUUGUACACCCAGUAACAUGGGUACCUGUAGGGAGAGCCGAUAAGCAAUACAUGUGCUCCUUGGCGAAACUUGGAAAGCAAGAGCUCGUAGAAGGGAAGGGCAUCAGCAGUGUGUGCAGUUACAACAGGUUACAGAUGACCAUUGCUCAAAUACUGACCUGUUUGGCAAGCUAUGACGAAGACAACUCAUCUCAGUACAACGAAACAGUCACUGAAGCACUUACAGCUGACAUGAGUAAAGAGGAGAAGGAAUUCGUUAUUCAAGCUGUGCAAGACAAGCUGGAAGGGCGGGGACUUCUUCCUGAUGAUGGUCCGAGUGAUUUUGACAACGUGUUAGAACGCGAUGGGUUACCUCCCCUUGGGUCCAGAGUACGACGAGGACCUGACUGGAAUAGACAGGACGAAGAUGUCGAGGGACCCGGGACUAUUAUUAAUCAUGCGAAUGAUCCCCAGCUACUGUGGGUGGAAUGGGACUUGAAUGGCGACCGAGUCUAUCAGUAUAGAUAUGGAUAUGAUGAAAUGUAUGAAGUUCUCUUGAUUGACAAGGAGUCGACUGGUCAUAUGGAAAUGAGGAUGGUGGACCAGGCGCAUUUGGAAUUGUCAUACGAGCGCGCGGGGAUGGGAAAGUAAAGGUGAGAUGGGAUAAUGGUCACAUCAGUUCGUACAACUUUGGAUGCGAUGGCAGAUUUGACUUAGAAAUCCGUUUGGAGGACGGAGGUGGUCCAGCAGGAGCCUUAGCAUCCCCGGAAUCACCAGCAACAACUGUUCCUGACAAUAGUAAUGAUAACAAAGAAACAAAGCUGGCUAUGGUGACAAAAGCGAAACCACACAUUAUCUGGCAGUGGAAGGAUGAUAACAGUGACUGGAGGUUAUACACAAAGAUGCAGGUAGAAAAACUGGAAAAAGAAUACCAGAGACAGAGAGCCAGAUCCUGUGUUGUAGAGAAAGGUGGU